AUACAAAUCACCUGGAGAUCUUGUUAAGAUGCAGAUUCUGGUUCAGUGGUUCUAGGGUGGGUCCUGGGACACUGCAUUUCUAACAAGCUCCCAGGUGACCACGCU
rnacentral:pre_miRNA from 1 species